rnacentral:lncRNA from 1 species
AACUUGUUGUUUUACGAGCUCACAACGAACUCGGUCGGUUUUCCCUGGCUCACCGACUAGAACCACCCCGAUUGUUUUCUCGGGAUCACAAUCGAACCCUUACACGUUGGUUUUACACUCGGCUCACCAACCAACCUCUACACCCUUGAUUCAAUCUCCCGAUUGAACCAAGCAAAGACAAGAUGGAAAUAAUGACAACAAACAGAAAAACAGAGCUUCUCAAAAGCAGAUAAAUAACAAUAUAAACUAGAGAGAAGUUAAGAGCCCUCAAACACGUUUGAGUUAGAGUAGAGUAGGGCUUCUUGAACUUCGGGUCUCCUCUUGAAUGUCUGGUCGACUUGAAUGCAGGAGGAGAUCUCUUUCAAUAUUUGGAAAGAGGUAGUUGGAUGGAGUUAUGGCGCUCUUCCCUCUUUUCGUUGAAAAACCACUUGCAGAGAAUGAAUGCUUGAUUACUGUGAAUGGAAUGGUGCGUCUCUACCUUGCUACAGUCCUCUGUGGCUAUUUAAGCCAUCCCCCACGGAAACUAGCCGUUAGACACCUUUUUCUGCCCGUUCUGCACACUCUGCACAACCUGACAAUAUGUCCGUUGGGGGUCGGAGUCGACUCGCGCGAUCAGGAGUCGACUCGGCUGUAGCGGGAGUCGACUCAUGCUUUUCUGG